rnacentral:tRNA from 2 species
GGGCAAGUGGUGGAAUGGUAGACACGCUAGCCUUAGGAGCUAGUGCCGCAAGGCGUGGAGGUUCAAGUCCUCUCUUGCCCACAA